AACGAACGCUGGCGGCAUGCCUAACACAUGCAAGUCGAACGAGACCUUCGGGUCUAGUGGCGCACGGGUGCGUAACGCGUGGGAACCUGCCCUUAGGUUCGGAAUAACUCCCCGAAAGGGGUGCUAAUACCGGAUAAUGUCUUCGGAUCAAAGAUUUAUCGCCUUUGGUUGGGCCCGCGUUGGUUUAGCUAGUUGGUAGGGUAAAAGCCUACCAAGGCGACGAUCCAUAGCUGGUCUGAGAGGAUGAUCAGCCACACUGGGACUGAGACACGGCCCAGACUCCUACGGGAGGCAGCAGUGGGGAAUAUUGGACAAUGGGCGAAAGCCUGAUCCAGCAAUGCCGCGUGAGUGAUGAAGGCCUUAGGGUUGUAAAGCUCUUUUACCCGGGAUGAUAAUGACAGUACCGGGAGAAUAAGCUCCGGCUAACUCCGU
rnacentral:rRNA from 1 species